rnacentral:misc_RNA from 1 species
UAAAACAAGGCGUCCAGUGGCAUCCUUGGGGUGAUGGCCAUUUCCGUGGCACCGAAGAAUUUGCAGCCAAAGCUUGCUGCAAGCAGAACCAACUCAAAUUCGGGUUUAAUCUUGAAAGAAAGAUGACUAACAAAGAGUCCCAGACUCUUUUCAGUGAUGAUAUGGAGAUGGACAGAUUGGCAGACGUGGAUGCUAUUGACUACGAAUGGUUUUAUACAGUAUCAGUAACCCGAUCAUUUGCUGUUGAGGAUGGAAUUCUUGGCAAGACAUUUGGCUCCUGGGCUUUUAUUUGGUUGACUGGUAACCAUGAGUUACAGAUGUACGAGUGUGAGAGAGUUAAAGAGGCUCGUAUGCNNNNUGGGGUACAGACUUUGGUCUGUAUUUCAACCACUUGUGGAGUUGUUGAAUUGGGCUCCUCGAAUACGAUCGAUAAAGAUUGGAGCCUAGUGCAACUCUGCAAAUCGCUGUUCGGGGGAGACACAGCCUGCUUGGUCUCAAAGGAGCCAAGCCACGAGUCUCAAAUACAGAUUCCUAAUACUUGUCUCCUUGAUAUUGGCACGUUUUCAGCUUCUCAAAAGGAGACCUUUACGCAG